ACUAUUUUGGCAGAAAAGUGUAAUAAUUUUAGGAGUUAUGAAUGUAGUAAAUCUACAAGUAGUA
rnacentral:tRNA from 1 species